GUUCACCACUUCAAACCUUGAAACAGAACCCAAUGUCUAUUUACACUUACAUAUAAAAACUAUUGCAGAAAACCAAAGAUGAAAUUGUUAUAAAAUCAAAAAUUAUGAUGACAAGCACAACAAAAGUUUAUGUGCAGCUUGAUCCAUAAAGAGAGCUAGAAGCACUGCUGUAUAUAACAGCAGCUGAAACAUGAAAAGUGGCCAAAUAAGCACAAAAUGAAAUUUAACAAAGCCAGCUCAACACCAUGAAAGCAAUAUUUCU
rnacentral:misc_RNA from 1 species